rnacentral:misc_RNA from 1 species
GGAAGGAUCAUUCGCACGAAUAUCCACAUGUAUUCUUUAUAUAUCCAAAUUAACCGAUAACGAUGGAUGCCUUGGCUCGAGAAGCGAUGAAGGACGCAGCAAAUUGCGUUACCACGGUGAUCCGCAGACUUUUGUGAAACCGUUGGAUUCCUAAUGCACCCGGCGCCAGUUAUGUUUUUACAUCACCGGCAUGGCUUCAGCAAUCAUUUAUUUUACAAACCUUAAUUGGAUCAUGCUCUUGUUAGCAUUAAUGACAAUAUUUUGUCGUCUUUAUGGUUGUCUCCUGUGACUUAAACCUAUAAUGUUGUGAUGGAUUUUCAAAACAGCAUUUUAUAAGUUUUAUGUUAGUGGAUUGACUCCAUUUACUUUCAAUCAUUUGAUGUUGCUGUUGCCAAGUUUACCCGCUGAACUUAAGCAUAUCAUUAGGCGGUGGAACACAAACCAAAUGGGAUUCCCCCAGUAGUGGCGAACGAAAAGGGAAGUAGCCGCGUACAUAACAUAGCUCACGCUAUUUUGUUGUGUAAAGUUAGUUGAAUUUAUGGAGUAUGCAAUUAAGUUUCUUGGAAUGGAACGCCACGGCGGGUGAUAGCCCUUGCGAAUUGUGUAUUUCAUGGUUUUUUGGCUAACAGACGCAGUAGUGCUCCUUUAUAGUGGAGUGCAAAUUGGUGUUACAUUUCACCAAAGGCUACAAUAUCUUCUCGAGACCGAUAGUGAACAAGUACCGCGAGGGAAAGGUGAAAAGCACUUUGCAUGAAGGGCUAAAAGGACCUGAAAUCGUUAUCGGAUAAGGAUAUUAAUUCACCAAACGCUAAGGCUCUAAGGUUGCAUUCACGUGUGUAUCUUAUCCUUUUCGUUGCUCAGCGACUUCGAUUUUGUUAAAUGCCCGGUUGUGUAGUAAGAUUCUUUCUUGCUUUGCAGACGUUUGUGUUUCAAUGGAGUGGAAGUCCAAGAGUAGUGAUUCUGUUAUAAUCUUAUUUUAUAUCAGUUUUGUUACUCGGCUGGGGGUUGUGGGUUAAUAUCGCCCGUCUUGAAACACGGACCAAGGAGUCUACCGAUUAUGCAAGUCUUUUGGAGUUUAACCCAGAGGGCGUAACUGACGUAAUUCUGAACGGGUGUUUAGCUUCUAGUUAAACCCCCGUUCGGGCGGUAAGUUUCUUCGGAAGCGAAACCGACUCUGAGCAUACUCGUUGGGACCCGAAAGGUGGUGAACUAUGCCUGGGCAGGAUGAAGCCAGGGGAAACCCUGGUGGAGGUCCGCAGCGGUACUGACGUGCAAAUCGUUCGUCUGACUUGGGUAUAGGGGCGAAAGACCAAUCGAACUACCUAAUAGCUGGUUCCCUC